UUAAACCAAGUGUUGGAGCAUAAUCUUCUGCGGCUGGAUUUUGUAAUCCGAGCAGCACAGACGGUCAGAGUAAAAAUGCUUGUGAUAUAAGCGAUCUCAGAGUUCUGCUUUUCCCACAACACAACUGUUAUGAUUACAGCAGGGAAGAGGACUAAUUUAAGGUUAUAAUAAAUUACAAGGGCAUACAUUUCAGAAUGACUUGGUGGCCUUCUAUUUCCGUUGUAUCCUGACAGCUUCCAGACUCCUGGAAAUUUCAGAGGCUGAGGAGGAAAAGGAGAAUAAGUGAAGUCAGGUGCGGAAGAGACUAGCGAGAUUGAUUCAGAGCACUUUGGAUGUCUUGAAUUUCAGUGCAGAUGCACUCCAGACCUCUGGCUAAAGUUUCCAAACGUUGAGCAGCUCCGGUAAACUGAGCACAAACCUGUGCAAAUGUAUUGUAGUGUUUGUUCAUUGUAAUGCUACUUACCAUGAUGGUUCUGGCCUACAUCAUUGCCUUAAAGUACAGCAGCCAAAAACAUAGCAUUUCAUACAUUUAUUAACAUAUUACAAUACACUGUAUUUGAUGUUGCAUCAUCUGUUCUGAUAUUCUGUACUGCUAUGUACAAGUGGCCAUAUGUAAUUUAAAAGCAGUACAGCUUACUGUCUUAUUCUUUUCCUAACACAAAAUGUAAUCAAGAAAUAAAACUUCAUGGUUAAGCUGGAAGCCCCAAGACA